GUGACAUUAUGAAACGGUGACUGCACGCUAGAAUGCCAUUUCAGCUUUUCUAAUUCAUUUAGUUUCUUUUCUCCCCUCUUUAGCCACAGGAAAAGGCUGAAUUGCCCCCAGCCUGCCUUCUUCUCCCUCACGCAAGCAAAGCUUCACGGCGGCGGGCCUUGGUGGCACACUGGCACUCGAGCUUGACAGGGAGGGAGUUCGAACCGCGGCGAGGCAAAAUAGAAGGCACGGAUGCUUGAUUCCAUGGCAACAAACUUAAUUCAGGCAAACAUUAGCAUGACAUCCUCAUAUUGCUCCACGGGGCCUUCUUGUUUUCACAAAAAGCACCCAGUCAUCAUUAGCGAGCGCGAGGUCAAGUCUGUGAGAUGGGCAGUCUUGCGGCAAAUCUAGCUGCCGGUCGUCACAAGCUGCAGGCUGACCUCCAUCACUGGCCGUCGCAGGCCCCGCCAUUGGGGGACGCCGCCGCCGACUUUGCCUGCGCGAUGGCUCCUGGCCCAGCGAAUCAAGCCGGAGUUCGCUCCUCUUCUCCGGCAGUUGGGCCCGUGGCCCCGUGCUUCAUCGUCGGCGCGCUGCAGCACGCCGCUGCGGAGCGGUGGGACGCUGGCUGCUGACGAUUCAGGCGGGGCUAGGCGGGGCCGAGGCCCCGUAUAGCCCCGCGUUGGCCGGCGGUGGCCCAGCUCCGCUCGUUCGUCGUGAGAGAUAGAACAAGGCUGGAGGAACGGGAGAAGGAAGAAAGAUGAAGAUAAGGUUCGAUCCAGCGGCAUAAUGGUCUGUUCACGAGCCAUGAAGUAAAGGAAAUCUUUAAAUCAAUUAAAAGUAAAGAUGAUGAAAAGGCAUUUUGGCUAAUGGCCCCAGUUUUUA